rnacentral:rRNA from 1 species
UACGUAGGGGGCUAGCGUUGUCCGGAAUCAUUGGGCGUAAAGCGCGCGUAGGCGGCCCGGUAAGUCCGCUGUGAAAGUCAAAGGCUCAACCUUUGAAUGUCAGCGGAUACUGCCGGGCUAGAGUCCGGAAGAGGCGAGUGGAACUCCUGGCGUAGCGGUGGAAUGCGCAGAUAUCAGGAAGAACACCAACGGCGAAGGCAGCUCGCUGGGACGGAACUGACGCUGAGGCGCGAAAGCGUGGGGAGCGAACAGG